rnacentral:rRNA from 1 species
GAUGAACGCUAGCGGCAGGCCUAACACAUGCAAGUCGAGGGAGAAGCCCUUUCGGGGGCAGAAACCGGCGCACGGGUGCGUAACGCGUAUGCAACCUACCUUUCACAGGGGGAUAGCCCGAAGAAAUUUGGAUUAAUACCCCAUAAUAUUAUUGGAUGGCAUCAUUUGAUAAUUAAAACUGCGGUGGUGAAAGAUGGGCAUGCGUCCUAUUAGCUAGUUGGAGUGGUAACGGCACCCCAAGGCUACGAUAGGUAGGGAUCCUGAGAGGGAGAUCCCCCACACUGGUACUGAGACAGGGACCAGACUCCUACGGGAGGCAGCAGUGAGGAAUAUUGGUCAAUGGUCGGAAGACUGAACCAGCCAUGCCGCGUGCAGGAAGAAUGCCUUAUGGGUUGUAAACUGCUUUUAUAUGGGAAGAAUAAGGCGUACGUGUACGUUGAUGACGGUACCAUAUGAAUAAGCAUCGGCUAACUCCGUG